rnacentral:lncRNA from 1 species
GAAAAUUCUUUUCUUUAAGAAUGUUGAAUAUUGGCCCCCACUCUCUUCUGGCUUGUAGGGUUUCUGCCGAGAGAUCUGCUGUUAGUCUGAUGGGCUUCCCUUUUAGGGUAACCUGACCUUUCUCUCUGGCUGCCCUUAACAUUUUUUCCUUCAUUUCAACUUUGAUGAAUCUGACAAUUCUGUGUCUUGGAGUUGCUCUUCUCGAGGAGUAUCUUUGUGGCGUUCUCUGUAUUUCCUGAAUCUGAACUUUGGCCUGCCUUGCUAGAUUGGGGAAGUUUUCCUGGAUAAUAUCCCGCAGAGUGUUUUCCAACUUGGUUCCAUUCUCCCUGUCACUUUCACGUACACCAAUCAGUCGUAAAUUUGGUCUUUUCACAUAGUCCCAUAUUUCUUGGAGGCUUUGCUCGUUUCUUUUUAUUGUUUUUUCUCUAAACUUCCCUUCUUGCUUCAUUUCAUUCAUUUCAUCUUCCAUUGCUGAUACCCUUUCUUCCAGUUGAUCGCAUCGGCUCCUGAGGCUUCUGCAUUCUUCACGUAUUUCUCGAGCCUUGGUUUUCAGCUCCAUCAGCUCCUUUAAGCACUUCUCUAUAUUGGUUAUUCUAGUUAUACAUUCUUCUAAAUUUUUUUCAAAGUUUUCAACUUCUUUGCCUUUGGUUUGAAUGUCCUCCCGUAGCUCAGAGUAAUUUGAUCGUCUGAAGCCGCCUUCUCUCAGCUCGUCAAAGUCAUUCUCCAUCCAGCUUUGUUCCAUUGCUGGUGAGGAACUGCGUUCCUUUGGAGGAGGAGAGGCGCUGUGCUUUUUAAAGUUUCCAGUUUUUCUGUUCUGUUUUUUCCCCAUCUUUGUGCUUUUACUUUUGGUCUUUGAUGAUGGUGAUGUACAGAUGGGUUUUUGGUGUGGAUGUCCUUUCUGUUUGUUAGUUUUCCUUCUAACAGACAGGACCCUCAGCUGCAGGUCUGUUGGAGUACCCUGCAGUGUGAGGUGUCAGUGUGCCCCUGCUGGGGGGUGCCUCCCAGUUAGGCUGCUCGCGGGUCAGGGGUCAGGGACCCACUUGAGGAGGCAGUCUGCCCAUUCUCAGAUCUCCAGCUGCGUGCUGGGAGAACCACUGCUCUCUUCAAAGCUGUCAGACAGGGACAUUUAAGUCUGCAGAGGUUACUGCUGUCUUUUUGUUUGUCUGUGCCCUGCCCCCAGAGGUGGAGCCUACAGAGGCAGGCAAGCCUCCUUGAGCUGUGGUGGGCUCCACCCAGUUGGAGCUUCAGGGCUGCUUCGUUUACCUAAGGAAGCCUGGGCAAUGGCGGGCGCCCCUCCCCCAGCCUCGCUGCUGCCUUGCAGUUUGAUCUCAGACCGCUGUGCUAGCAAUCAGCGAGACUCCGUGGGCGUUGGACCCCCCGAGCCAGAUGUGGGAUAUAAUCUCGUGGUGCGCCGUUUUUUAAGCCUGUCAGAAAUGCGCAGUAUUCGGGUGGGAGUGACCCGAUUUUCCAGGUGCCGUCCGUCACCCCUUUAUUUGACUAGGAAAGGGAACUCCCUGACCCCUUGCACUUCCCGAGUGAGGCAAUGCCUCGCCCUGCUUUGGCUCGCGCACGGUGCGUGCACCCACUGACCUGCGCCCACUGUCUGGCACUCCCUAGUGAGAUGAACCCGGUACCUCAGGUGGAAAUGAAGAAAUCACCCGUCUUCUGCGUCGCUCAGGCUGGGAGCUGUAGACCGGAGCUGUUCCUAUUCGGCCAUCUUGGCUCCUCCCCGUGACUUUCAAAUAAAACUCAGUACAAAACAAGCAGACACCCAUGGCCUUUCCAUGUCUAAGGAUAGUUUCCUGUUCAAGUAACUGACCUUACAGACAGAACCUCAGAGGAGAACCAACUAGAUCUGCAUCAAAG